UAUGUAUAAGUGAAAUAUAAGGAUUAGUUUGUGAAGAGUCGGUUGAGUACACGUGUCGGAACCGUAACGUGCAUGCGUUGAGUCGAGUCGUCGAGCUCAGCUCCACCUUUCCCUUGAUUACACCUGUUGUGUUGCUCACGAGCGACUGUGAAUCCAUGGACAAAUACAAGCUGCCCAACCCCUUCCUUUUCUGCACAAAGCUCCUCCCGUCGGCGAUGGGUGCAUCCCUCCUAGGGAGGAUGGCGACGGGCGUGGCGGCGGCGGCGUAUGUGCUGAUGGCGCUGAUGGUGGCGAUGGUUGCAGCGGCGGUGGUGGGCGUGGGGCUGGUGAGGUGGUGGGCGGAAGAGCCGCUUUAUGUGAAGGAGAGUGUGCAGUUUGAUUAUAGUGAUGCUCAUCCCACCGCCCUCUUGACGUUCGGGAACGGCCCGCUGGGCCGUGCCGCCGGGCCACACCGUUUACGUCUCCUUGUCUCUCUUGAUGCCCGAUUCCGAUUAUAACAGAGAUGUUGCAUAUUUCAGGGUCCACUUGCAGAGAAUCCCGACUAACCGAUGGAUUGAGGGAACUUUCCAAGAGGUUCAGUGAUCAUAUACGAACGAAAUUACCUCUAAGUCAUCAAUCAGCAGGGAGUGAUGCACCCAAGUGUAUCACGAGCAUAUUAGAGUAGGGGGGUUUGGGGUGUCCCCCAACCCAAAAGCCAGUAAACUCUCCUACUGCAUGAUGAAAAUGUAUAAUGCCUGUUAUUGCUCUGGGCUUUCCCCUGUAAGUUCUGUCAUUCUAUAAUGUAGAAGAGUAAAGUCCUAUUGGCUCGCUUCAAUUUUCUCAUAUAUUGAUCGAAUUGCAGUGAUCAAGUGUUAUUGCUUAAAAUGAUGCAAUUCCUUGCAGGUUUGCUUCAAUCAGGGCAUUUGAGAGUGGUUCUUGGUUCUAGAUAUCACAUGAGGAAGUUGGUCAUAUAUUGGACCAUUUUCUCAUUGUUUUCUCUCUUUGAGUUUGCAUUUGAGAAAAUCAUAGAUUGGGUGGUGGUAGAUCCUCUGCAAGAGAAACAAUUAGGAGAGUUGCUGUUGGAGUUGUGGCUAAGAAGAUUCUAAACCAAUAUGCUGGAACUCAUGCCGCUUGGGCGAGAGUCCCUGCGUCGACAUGAUCCCACCAUUCGAACAAGAAGUUGUCCACGAUUAAUCGGAACCACGGGGAGAGCUUGAGGCCGUCUUCGCCUGCAUCCACCUUCCUCAGAAGCUCCUGCAGUUGC